CCCGCUGACUUUAAGCAUAUCAAUGAGCGGAGGACAAGAAACCAACUGGGAUUGCCUUAGUAACGGCGAGUGAAGCGGCAAAAGCUCAAAUUUGAAAUCUGGCUUCCUAUUUCGGGGCCCGAGUUGUAAUUUGGAGAGGAUGCUUUGGGUGUGGUCGCGGUCUAAGUCCCCUGGAACGGGGCAUCAUAGAGGGUGAGAAUCCCGUCUGGGACCGCUGGCCCUGCCCGUGUAAAGCUCCUUCGACGAGUCGAGUUGUUUGGGAAUGCAGCUCUAAAUGGGUGGUAAAUUUCAUCUAAAGCUAAAUAUUGGCCGGAGACCGAUAGCGCACAAGUAGAGUGAUCGAAAGAUGAAAAGCACUUUGAAAAGAGAGUUAAACAGCAUGUGAAAUUGUUGAAAGGGAAGCGCUUGCGACCAGACUCGCCCGCGGAGGCUCAGCCGCCAUGCUUUGGCGGUGCACUACUUCGCGGUCGGGCCAGCGUCGGUUCUGACGGUUGGUUAAAGACUCUCGGAAUGUGUCGUCUCUCGGGGCGUCUUAUAGCCGAGGGUGCAAUGCAGCCUGUCGGGACCGAGGAACGCGCUUCGGCACGGACGCUGGCGUAAUGGUCGUAAGCGACCCGUCUUGAAACACGG
rnacentral:rRNA from 1 species